GUACAUACGGAGCCGCUGACCAAGACUCGAUGGCCGCUGCAUUUUAAUGUGUGUUCUUUGUGCACCGCUGGGCCUUCACCCAGCACAAACCCCCAAACUGGGAGGCUUAAAAGCGGAAACACUUUUGCAUAAUUAGCCAGUCAAGGGGACACGCUUCAAAAUAAGACAUCGGAAGGGCUUGCCGUGGACAGCUGGGAGCAGAGCCGGCUACCCGGCAAUUAGUGGUGAAGCUGUCCGGUUCACUGCCCAGCCUGGGGCAGUCAGUGAUCCCUUCCUUUGCUGUUGGCCUGCAGCCCAGCUGCCCAGGGCUGGGUCUUCUUGAGGAGAGUCCUGCAGGGGGAAAAGGCCAAGAGGAAGACAGCCGUGGAGACGCAGAGACGUGGAAGAACAGGAGCCAGGAUGGCAGCCCCAUCUCAGCCUCCUCGCCCACCAACCAAGGGGUUUCCAUGGAUGCGUCCCGGCCUCCCCUGCUCCUGGGCCCUGGGAUUUGGGUUAUUUGCUCAGUCAUGGCUGGAUUGUGGCUCCAGCAGACAUUUCCUUCGAUUUAAAGUGUUUGUUCCGGGAGAAGAGCCGCAGCGCUGUCCAUUAUUCCUCCAUAUUGAUGGUGUGGAAAUUGGCUGUGUGUCCAGUCGCUUGGCGGCUGAUUCGGUAUUUCAAUCAAGCAGCUUGUGUGCUGGACUGUUAAGGUGGCCAAGCUGCUUCCCCCAGAGGAGAACAUGGACUCUCUUCCUCCACAUCCUUCCGAUUCUGCAGGGGCUGGGCUUCCAGGUAGGCUCCACCUUGCCCCUGAGGUGGGUCAACAUUCACCUGGAGGAAAUGGGUCCCUGCUCAUCUUCAUGCCCAGGUGAGGCCGUGAGCAGACAAUGGAUGAAGACCUGAGGCCGCCUCAUGGAGCUCCAGAGCCAUAGCAACCCAUCAUAGGUAGCACGCGGAUGCUGGUGGAGCUCCGCGUCGCCCCUGAUGUGGUGAGGGAGUCAGGAGCCAGCCAGUGUCAGGGUCUGCACGGGAGGUGCCCGUGCCAGGGUGGCGUCACUGGGGCCAGACGAGCUGCAGCCGGCGCCCGGGCGGCGUGUGUGUGGCACUCACGUUAGCGUGUCCAGGAGAAGCGUCCAGGACUCACGGAGAGCGCCGCCGGGAGCCGCGUCCCCCAGGCAUCUCACGCUUGCUCGUCUCACGCGCACGACAAGGUUUACUCUUAGACGUUUCGAGGUGGUGAAACUUGGAUAAGAAGCUCUCUCAAGGGCACUUGCCCGUCCGUGGCUCCCUGCCAGUGAGCUGACGCCAACUCCUCCCGGGCCUCUGGGACCCGACCCUGGUUUCCAACGGCUUCCGCAGGGGAACUGCUCCCUCUGCAGCCGAGCUUGCCCUCCCGCUCCGCCUCUGGUGCUCUGUGGCUGCGCCCCUGGUUUGGAGGAGGCUCUUUACACCGUGUUUUAACCUUAACGACAGAACGUCUGGGUCCCUCCAGAGUCUGCAAGUUCCGGCUCCCCGUGCGAUGGGGUUUGGGCCUGGGGACUUUGGAGGAGACUGGAUGACGAGGUGGAUUAAUGCCUGGUAAGAAGACUCACCAGGCGUUCUCGCCUCUCUCCCUCCGCCUCUCCCACCUUCUCUGCUGUGUGAGGACCUGGUGAAGGGGCCAUCUGCAAUCAGGAAGAGGACCCCACCCUGAGGGCACCCUCUUGUGCACAGUGCCCCUUGUCUGGUCUGGUCACUUUGCCAUGGCGCUCGGAGAUGACCAAGACAGUGCGCUCUGCCCGCCAGGGGCCAUCGAGUUCCCGUGGUGCUGUGUGAGCCUCGCAGGGGGCGGGCCUGGCCACAGAGGCAGGCGCGUGGGAGCUCCGGAAGGACAGAUCUCCACUCGUGGACAGACGCCUGGUAGCUGCCCCUCGGGCACUUGGGAAGCGACUCUCGAGAGCCCCGGUUUCCACGCUCCUGGGUCCUCAGGAUGCAGUGCUCGUGGGGACCAUCUCCCCGACAGAGUGCCUCCUGGGCUGCGGCGUCUGGGAGGUCGUGACCUUGGAACGGCAGAGUGGCCUCGCGGUGCCAGGGGCGCUGCCGUUGGUCAGAGGGCUCUCCGCACACCAGGGGCCCGAGCGGCCAGGUGCGCCCGGCCAGGCUCGUCUGAAGGAUGCAGCGUGUGGGGAGCACAUCUGAGCUGGCCCCCGCUGCCCGUUAUUUGGGAUGGGUGUAUCUGGGAGUGACAGGGCCCCGCCCAGGUCUUCCCGAGGAGGCUGGGGUGGGGCUGGAGGAGCGGAGGCCGGGAGGAAGGAGACUGCACGGGCGCUGGUCCAGGUCCCCAUGCUCCCUAAGGUCGUCAUCAAAUGUGACUUUCCGAGUGCUGGCCUGGUGCUGCGGGCGCGAGACCUGAGUGUGCUGGAUCCACAGGAAGCCGCGUUCCAGACGGCCUGCCCCACGGUCCCCGCGCCCGGCAGAGGGGAGCCAGCCUGGCACACACGGGAGAGGUUUGGCUCAGACCUUUGAGUCUCGCGUAGCUCGGACUCGUCUUCAGUGGGUGCAGGUGGGCACAGCGCCAAGACCCCAGCCCGGCGGCCCAGCACGUCCCAUCCCAGAUCUGACUGCCAGCCCUUCCGCACAGGAGCAGAGAUCUUCACCCCUGGGGAGAUCCCUGGGGAAAGGGUUUGCUCAGCCUCAGGGCGGAGCAGACCUGUGCCUACAGAGCCCCGGAACCUGCUGCGCCUUAGCAGGGCCGCUGCACUGACGGGCGGCUUUCUGCACCAGCGCGGGUCCCUGGCCACACCUUCGCUCCUUGGCCCAACAGGAUCAGCCAAGUGCCUGUCAAAGACCUAGUGAGCGACACUCUCGGCAGGGUGAGGAGCUCCCCAGCACCCUCCCAGCCAGCCGUGCUUCCACUCGUGCGUGUGUGUGUGUGUGCAUGCCUGCGUGGGGGCAUGUGUGUGUGAGUGCAUGUGAGUGUGCGU